CUGUAGGAGAGUUAUAAUCGUCCAAAAAAUAAUUCUCCUUCGAUGUGAUAUUUUAAUAUAUUAUAGAUUAACUAAUAGCAAAGAAAAAUCAUACGGCUUGCUAUGAUCCUUUGGUUCAUCAGCAAAUCAUUUAUAGGUAUACUGAAGCAUUUUUAUGCUGUAUGUGUAUAUAAAAUAGAAUUUAUGCACUCCGUCCAGAAAUCAAUGGGCACUACCAGUUUGCCAUCUCUGAACUGCAGCUGAUAGUUGCUUGUUAUACAGCUUCUCUAAUUCACUUGCUUCAUAUGGACCAAGUGGUUGCAUUUGUGUUUACCAAAACUGAAUGUCAUUUUUCCAUAAUGUUGUAAAUUUGUUUAAUAUCUAUAUUUCUUUUGGCACUGAUACAUAAUUUAUUAUAUUCUGAGAUAGCACUGACACUAAUUAUUUCCAGUUUGGAGGGGGAAGAUGGAGUGGGUGGAUGGUGGCGCUUAAAUCUUUUUUUUUUUUUUUCCUUUUCUUUGAUUCAAUUUGUUUAUUUAGACCUUAAGAAUAUUCUCAAUCUGUUUCUGACCUGUGCAUUACAGGGAGACAAGCUGGAGAUAGUUGUUUUAAAUGCUAGUGGUAUACGUCAAGAGUACAUGGAACUCAGGAAAGAUUAAAUCAUCUUCUACAUUUCUUCGCGGAUGCUUUUGCUCAAUUCGGAUAUUGGAAUGCUUGGGAUGGCAAUUGCCAGAUAGUUUGUGUUCUUGUGCACAAUAAUUAUUACUUAUUUGGGUGGGAGUCUGCUUUCUUUGUGGAAAUGUUAUGAUGACUCGUUACUUGAAAGUUAUGGUUCUGUAUUUGCAUUAUGUUUCAGUUUAUGUUUAAAGCUUGAUCAGGUUUACAUGUAGCAACAAUCUUGAAGCCUUUAAGCAUCUGAUCUAGUGAAAACUCGUCUUGAAACUUUUAUUGGGUGGAAUUUGGUUUGUUUGUUGUUAUAACUUAUACGGAUACUGUUUGAAAAGAUGCAAAGAUUAGAAAGUGGGCAAGUUGUCAUGGUGUGCUUUAUAAAAUGCUGUUUUUUUUAUGCCCAUCCCUUGAAUCCUAAACGUCAGUACCUCUCUCAGAUUGAAGUAAAUGGUUUAUCUGCUAAGCAUAUACAUGGUUCUACAACUCCAUAUUCCAGUCGUCUCUUCUUUUUUCUGUGUAUUCCGAGCGUGGAGUAGUCUGGUUAUGUCGAUUUCAUCUGUCCCGUGUGAAUAUUAGCUCAAAAAGUCACUGGAAACC
rnacentral:lncRNA from 1 species